GGGGCCAUAGCUCAACUGGCUAGAGCGCAUCCAUGGCAUGGAUGAGGUUGUGGGUUCGACCCCCAUUGGCUCCACCA
rnacentral:tRNA from 1 species